GUGGAGUUUAUUAUCAAAGGGGUAGAUUGCUUGACCUCUAGCAAACAAGAACUGGGGAGGUGAGGAACCUUUAAAGAGAGAGGGCUCUCUAGGGUGGCAGGGGAGGCAGGACAGGGCUGGAAUUUACUGGAGAGAGAAAGGCAGAGUUGUUUAUAGUUCAACUGUUUAGAAUUUAGGUCUCUUGGGUUUUUUGUUGGGUUAAAUAAGGUGUAUUCAGUAUUUUAUGGCUUGUUAGCCUGAGUGCCUACCUGGGAACUGAGGAUCCUCUUUUCUUUUAACUGGGGGAAUAAACAGGAGCUACAUUUUUCUGGUGUUGCUGGGGACAAGCCAGGAGCCAAAGGGAGAUUUGUGUGAAAAGCCCCGAAGACUGAUUUGGGGACAUUUACAUAGCUGGACAGCAAUUCUACUGGAUUAUACAGGGAAACACUGUGAGCGGCUCAAAGGGAAUAUGAUCUGUGAAUUGCUAAAGGUGGAUAUUUGUUUCUGGAAAAAAGUUGAGGCAAUGACCUUGGCAUAACCAAAGGUAGGAUCCUCUUAACUCAGUUUCCCUAUUAUAUAAUUUCCUUUUUGAACAGGACCGCUUCCCUCUUGUUUAAUACUGAACCUGGUUAUUAUACCCUGUGAAUAAUGUGGAACUUUUCUAUAUGAUUGGUUGUUCUAAAUAGUAACUAUGACUCUUACCUUGAAUCAAACAGAACUAAGAAUGCUUUAGUCUAUUAUAUCUAUACUGAGACUUUUUUGUGCCCUGAGGCUUAGGCCUGGAGAAUCAGUCUUGCUGCUGUUAUUAACCAUGUCUCCACUUCUUCCUUUCAGAGAAAAAUCUCUCUAACCAUGGCAGGUAAAGUAAUUAAAAAAAAACUAUAAUGGACCUUAUUACUAUAAUAUUCUAGCACCUCUAUACUACUAUAAAAGUAGUAU
rnacentral:lncRNA from 1 species